UACGGGGGGGGGCAAGCGUUUGUUCGGAAUUACUGGGCGUAAAGGGCGCGUAGGCGGCUUUGCAAGUGGCGGGUGAAAUCCCUCGGCUUAACCGAGGAACUGCCUGUCAAACUGCAUGGCUUGAGACCAGGAGAGGUGAGUGGAAUUCCCAGUGUAGCGGUGAAAUGCGUAGAUAUUGGGAGGAACACCAGUGGCGAAGGCGGCUCACUGGACUGGUACUGACGCUGAUGCGCGAAAGCGUGGGGAGCAAACAGGG
rnacentral:rRNA from 1 species